UGUGUAGGCGGUUUGGUAAGUCUGGUGUGAAAUCUCCCGGCUCAACUGGGAGGGUGCGCCGGAAACUGCCGGACUCGAGUGCGGGAGAGGAAAGUGGAAUUCCUGGUGUAGCGGUGAAAUGCGUAGAUAUCAGGAGGAACACCGGUGGUGUAGACGGCUUUCUGGACCGUAACUGACGCUGAAACACGAAAGCGUGGGUAACAAACAGGAUUAGAUACCCUGGUAGUCCACGCCCUAAACGAUGCACAUUUGGUGUGGGUCAUUCAGUUGAUCCGUGCCGGAGCUAACGCGUUAAAUGUGCCGCCUGGGGAGUACAGUCGCAAGGCUGAA
rnacentral:rRNA from 1 species